rnacentral:lncRNA from 1 species
GGUGUAAAUAAAGGUGUCAUAAAAAACGGGGCGGGGCGCGCGGUUGUCAGGGGCGCAAGCGUCUCGGGGCUGCCAGAAUGGCUCCCGCUCAGUGCGCGGCGCCAGCGCAUGUCAUGUCCCAGCUGCGCCUCUGGGUCCCAUGGCCCCUCCUCAGAUGUCAGCUCCGCCUCAGGAAUCGACUGAGACUUUGACCGAGACUUUGGUUCCAUUCCUGGACACAGAUUCAGCUGGAGAGCUGGCCCCGGGGCCAGAGCAGUUAGCGGCUGCACACCAGAAUCUGAAUGACAAGCUGACUUGGCAAGAAAGGCUCCCAGAGGUGGUCUCAGUGCUGGACUGGGAUCAGAACCAGACCCUUGCUCGGCCUCCUCGCCUCAAAAGAAUCUUGGUUGCAAUUUACUGA